rnacentral:misc_RNA from 1 species
AAGUCGUAACAAGGUUUCCGUAGGUGAACCUGCGGAAGGAUCAUUAACACAAUCCGAAAGGUGUUGUGCGUGCUUCCCAGCACAAGCAACCCUUUUAUCUACCCAACUGUGCACCUGCCUCCCAGCGAGGUGGCCACCGUUUGUCAGAGUCGAAUGACGGUUGCGAGAUUCGCUCUCGCUUCCAGCUUUUCAACUUUGACAGGUCGGCUACCCACUUGCGUUUUUGUUCUUUUUCAAUUUAUUUACCCUUUUGAAAAAACCUGUUGUAGUUUUUUUUCCUUUCAAAGCAACGGACGACGCUGGCCACGUGCCUGUUAGUCGGUCGAUUGUUCGAAAACUGAAAAUA